rnacentral:tRNA from 1 species
GGGUAUAUAGCUCAGGUGGUAGAGCGUAUGCUUAGUAUGCACAAGGUCCUGGGUUCAAUCCCCAGUACCUCCU